AUUUUUAGUAGACGGGGUUUCACCCUGUGGGUGAGGCUGGUCUCGAACUCCUGACCUCAAGUGAUUUGCCCUCCUUGGCCACCCAAAGUGCUGGGAUUACAGGCGUGAGCCACCAUGCUUGGCCCCCAUAAUGUUACUGGGGAUCUUUCUUUUCUGCUUUGCAAAGUGUAUAAAUUCCAUCCUCAAAGUAGCCUCAUGGUCCAUGAGGGCUGCUGGCUAGCCAACCAUCACAGCAGGAAGCAGAUGUUGGGAGCACAGCAGGGCUCAUUUCCAGUUGUCCCCUCUUAUGGAGCUUUCCAGAUGACCCACUCAAUUAAUUCUUCUUACAUUUCAUUGCUACCACUAUUUACAAGGUAGGCUAGGUACAGUGUCCCUCAGAAUAAAAUCAGAGCUCAUUUCCUGCGGAACACAGCUGGGUUAUCUGCAUUGUCUGCCUCAGGCCAGCACCUGUAAAUACAGCUGGUGGAGAGGGGCAGUGGCUGAUUCUUCUGGGUGGCAAAUUUUAAAAUAUAUGCCAAGAGUGAUUCAAAUAUUCAUUUCCUCUCAUGUAGUCUCAAGUGUGUGACUUUAUGUUUGGGAAACCCAAAGAAAGGUGGAGAAGCACAUGCAUGAAGAUAUCCAUUGCCCCCUGAUUGUUAAGCAUGACAAGUCAGAAACAACUGAAAUUUCCAACAGUGGGAAAAACACAAGCAUGCUAUGUUCUGAAAUUCACUUGGUGGAAUGUUCCGUCAGUCACUGUGAUAUGGUUUGGCUGUGUCCCCACCCAAAUCUCAUCUUGAAUUGUAGCUCCCAUAAUUCCCUUGUGUUGUGGGAGGGACCCAGUGGGAGAUAAAUGAAUCAUGGGGGCGGUUUCCCCCAUACUGUUCUCGUGGUAGUGAAUAAGGAUCAUGAGAUCUGAUGGUUUAAUAUGGGGAAACCCCUGUCUCUUCGCUGUCAUUCUUCUCAUGUCUGCCACCAUGUGAGACGUGCCUUUCGCCUUCCAUCAUGAUUGUGAGGCCUCCCCAGCCACAUGGAACUGUGAGUCGGUUAAAUCUCUUUCUUUUGUAAAUUGCCCAGUCUCCAGUAUGUCUUUAUAGCAGCAUGAAAACUGACUAAUACACACUACACACUGUAAAUGUUAGUCAUGGAGGAUGUGUACCAACAUGGAAGAGUGUUUACAAUGUAUCUUUAGAGAAAAGAUGGACUAUCCAAGUAUGCAUACUGGAAUUAUCAUUAGAUUACCAUACAUCUGGGUGAGGAGCAGAACAGAGACAUAAGUAACAGCAACCGUGAACCUCAGAGGCAGCCAAGGGAAAUGUUCCUCCCAUAUGGAAAGUCAGAAGCUGCCAGAGAGGCAAGUGGAGCAUGCAAGACAACUGAUGGCAUAGUCUCAGAACUGACCAUGAAUACUGCUCUCCACUUUCCAUUGACCAAAGCAAGUCCAACGUUGUGGGAAAGGGUCCCUCACCCACAGUGGGAGGUGAGGGGUGUGGACACUUGCCACUUGCUGAUUGAUGACCAAAAUAUCCCAGGUAUAUACCCUUUCACACUUUUCCUAUGCUUUUUUAAAUAAAGACACUCUUUACCAAUCAGAAUCACUCUACAUAUUGUUUUGCCACUCAGUUAUAUGUAUGACUACAUCUUUUUAUGUCAUAAAAAUUCUUCUGCAACAUGUGACUGCUUGCAAUUCUAUUUUGUGGUCAUAUCAUGAUUUAUUCAACCUGAUGGACAUUUAUCUUUUCCUUUAUUUAUUUAUUUAUUUAGUUAUUUACUAAGAUGGAUUUUCCCUCUUGUCACCCAGGCUGGAGUGCAAUGGCACCAUCGCGGCUCACUGCAACCUCCACCUCCUGGGUUCAAGCGAUUCUCCUGCCUCAGCCUCCCGAGUAGCUGGGAUUACAGGGGAAGCCAGCCACCAUGUCAUAAGGACAAAGCAGCCCUGAGGAGAACCAAUCCCUUGGGGAGGAACUCGGCCCCCAGUCAGCAGCCAAUACCAACUUGCCCAUGUGUGAGUUAGUCACCUUGAAAGUGGAUCUGCUGUCCCAGCCAAGCCUUCAGAUGAGACCACAGCUCUGGCCAACACCUGACUGCAGCCUCAUGAGAGACCCAGAGAACCAUCCUGUUGAGUCUCUCUUGAAUUCUUGGCCCAUAGAAAUUGCUAGUGAUAGUAAAUUAUUCUUGUUUUUUAAACCACUAAGUUUUAGGUUAAUUUAUUACACAGCAGGAAUGAUAACUUAAAUGGUGACUAUUUUGGUCAAAAGAGGCCAGGCUCUGCUACAGUAUCAAAUAAACCACACUUGAUGGCUAAUACAAUAAGGUUUAUUUCAUACUCACUUACACCUGAUGUGGGUAGGAGGGCUCUCCUGCUUGGCACGCAAGUCCCAGGGAUGCAGAGUAUUUUCACCUAGAAGCAGGUCACUUCUUCUCACAUUCAGGUGGUGAGAAAGCUGUGUUAUCACACCCAGGAGCAUGGAGCCAAGAAACAUAGUUUAGUUGUAUGCCCCAGAAUAUAACUAAAUAAACGUUUAGUAUUGCCUCUGCCACAGUGAAUCAAGAGAAAUGAAAGUGACUACUAUGUAUUUGAAAAGUAAAAAUUCCCAGAAGUACAGAAAUGCAUAUUGAAACUGAUUCAUGAUUUUUCACUUCCUGUGGAAUAAACAAAACUCCCUUUUUGAAAUCUGAGAAUAUCCAAACUUCCACAAUUGCUACAGGAUAAACACUUCCAUAUACAGCUGGUAGGAAUAAGAAUAGGCUUGACUUUUCCAGAUGAUAAAGUUGCAAGAUUUAUCCACAGCCUUUAAAAUAUUUAUAUUCCUUGACCCAAAUAAUUUUGCUUCUGGGAAUCUAUUAUAGGGAGAUAUAUAUAUAUAUAUAUAUAUAUAUAUUUUUUUUUUUUUUUUUUUUUUUGAGACGGAGUCUUGCAUGUCACCCAGGCU
rnacentral:lncRNA from 1 species